CACAAAGCCAGCUGCGCUCGCAGCUUCAUUUGCAUGACCUUCUGCGCUUCUUCAAAAAGUCCGCAGCGCUCCUUUUUUGCCGCAAACACCCCUAGCUCUACGAGUCACGAUGUGGUCUUCUGCACUUGCGCUUGUCCUUUGGGCUCUGCUGGUUCCUGGAUCUUCUGCCCAGAAUUUUGUGAGGCAAACGGACAGAAACAUAUUUGUCUCUCUCGGAGGAAACGUGGAAAUCAGGGCCACGGGGAGUCAAAGCAUUGGUCCCGAUCUCAGUUGGUACCAAGUGAAGCCUGGACAGGCUCCCAAACUGCUCAUCUACAGAGCAUCAAGCUUAUUCUCCGGCACGCCAUCUCGAUUCAGCGGCACUCAAUCCGGUUCUGACUACACUCUGACCAUCAAUGGUGUCCAGAGAGAUGACGUGGCCGAAUACUACUGUUUCGCCGACUUCGGCGGCGGCAGCUUCACACGGUGACUCAGAGACGUACAAAAACCUUCUUGGACUUUUGAGGGAAGUGAAAGUGGUCUGUAGAAGGUGGCAAGUGAAAAGCAGAAGAUAGAAGAAUGCUCAACAUAACCGGUCAGAAUUCAAGUUGAAGUCAAGCCUAUUUAUGUCUAUUCAACUAUUUAUUACAAUAUAUCAUUAUAGCCUCCUAAAAAUACACAUCACCACAAAUGA